CAGAUUCAGAUCUGCCUUCAGCUGCUGUAGCAGGAAUAGUUGUUGCUGUUGUUCUGCUUGUGGCUGCUGCUGCUGUAGCUGCUGGUGUGGUUUACUGUCGCCGCAGGAGCCAUACAGCAGUACCACAGAAUGAGGAUGAUGAUGGUAACUCACCGCCUGAUCCUAAGGUAGAUGGGAUGUCCUUAAACUCUGUUUACUCACAAAGUGAUCCGAAGAUUUCAGUAGUCAGUACCAAUACCAGUACAAUUGUCACACCUGUUAUAGCAUACCAAUUUAAAUGACAUAAACAAUUAUUUUUAUUUUAUUUUUUUAAAUAGAUUAAAAGGUAACAUUUAGCAUUGAAAAGUAUAUGAGAAAUAAUGUAAGUAACAUGGUAACAGCAUUAGAACAGAGUUGUUGUUUUUUUGUAUGUAGAGGUUUAUCAAAUCUGCUAAAGUGAUUGAGAUGGAAACAGAACAGUGAGACAUCUGUUUCAUGUUUGUUGCACUACAGGAAGUAUUAAUGCACUGAUCUGGUUUGACAUAUGAGUCAUUGUGUCCAGCCUGUUUAUAUCCGUACUGAUAGAACGGACUGCGUUUCCACAAAUACCGCACCAAGUUGAGCAUUACACUGGGGGGGAUAUCUUUUCAAUAUUUUUGUUUUGUUUCCCAUUUCAUCAAGAUGCAUUAAAGGCAGA